rnacentral:lncRNA from 10 species
GUUUCCGGGAGCCCGGCGGACGCUGGGUCUGCAGAUGCCAUCCAGGCGCACGGCGGGUAUAGUGGUUCCGCAACCUUGGGAUGUUCGGCUGAGCGCCUGCCUAACAUGGGAGCGCCUGCCUAACCCUCCUGACUGGAGGGUCAGCGGCGGGGAGUCCUGGCCUUCAAUCGGCCAUCGCCACGGCAGAAACUGGGGCCCGGGCUGCGUCCAGGCCCUUCCCCGUCCGUCCACAGGUCUCAUGGGCGCCCGGACUGGGGCUGAUGUAGUUUCCCGACCUCUGACACAUAGGAUCUGGAGAUUAAAGAUUCACAGGCUGCUCCCCAGAAUACUGAAGAAGAAACUCUAGGAGUGAGACCCAACAAUCUGUGUUUAACAAGUCCCCAGGCCCCUGGAUCCUCCUGGAAUCCCUGAUCCCUGUUGCUCCCUGGCGGAGUUUUCUAGUCCCUCUUACUUGAAGCAUGUCUUUCAGAGCCCGGCACCACCCAAGUUGGGUAUCUGCUACACCUCUAUGGUAUUUUUUUCACCUCAUAUCAUACCUUCCUCCCUCACUGGACUUCAGUGUGGGACCUGCAGGUCUCAGGCCUUCUGGGAAGUCCCAGCUUUUCUUGAAUGUUCUCUCUCUCUGGCCAGCUCAGGCUGGAGCAGUGGGUGUUGGUGCCAUCCUGUGGCUAUAGGUGAUAAGCCGGCUGUUCUUCACUGACCUGGUCUUACCUUGAACCCUGGAGUUCUCACAUGCAUGGAUUUAAAUGCUGUGUCUUUCUAAGGGCACAUUAUGGCCAUUUUCCUUAUCUCCCUCCCAAGGGGCUGUUUCCUGUAUUUAUUGACUCCCUGUUUAAAAAAAAUAUAUGUAUAUAUAGACAAAUUGGAUUGUACCCCAUAAACUGCAUGUUUUAAAAAUACUUCAAAGAAUAGUUUUUCAUUUUUUUCUUGCUGGUUUUUAUGUAUCUUCUAAAUUGUAUAUAUUUAUGGGGUAUAAAAUGAUGUUGUGAUUUUUCAA